UACGAGGGGGGCAAGCGUUGUUCGGAAUUAUUGGGCGUAAAGGGUGCGUAGGCGGUUUGAUAAGUCUUGUGUGAAAUCUCUGGGCUCAACCCAGAGUCUGCAUAGGAAACUGUCGGGCUUGAGUAUGGGAGAGGUGAGUGGAAUUCCUGGUGUAGCGGUGGAAUGCGCAGAUAUCAGGAGGAACACCGAUGGCGAAGGCAGGUCUCUGGGCCACUACUGACGCUGAGAAGCGAAAGCAUGGGGAGCGAACAGG
rnacentral:rRNA from 1 species